UUAAAUUGAAGAGUUUGAUCAUGGCUCAGAUUGAACGCUGGCGGCAGGCCUAACACAUGCAAGUCGAACGGUAACAGGAAGCAGCUUGCUGCUUCGCUGACGAGUGGCGGACGGGUGAGUAAUGUCUGGGAAACUGCCUGAUGGAGGGGGAUAACUACUGGAAACGGUGGCUAAUACCGCAUAACGUCGCAAGACCAAAGAGGGGGACCUUCGGGCCUCUUGCCAUCAGAUGUGCCCAGAUGGGAUUAGCUUGUUGGUGAGGUAACGGCUCACCAAGGCGACGAUCCCUAGCUGGUCUGAGAGGAUGACCAGCCACACUGGAACUGAGACACGGUCCAGACUCCUACGGGAGGCAGCAGUGGGGAAUAUUGCACAAUGGGCGCAAGCCUGAUGCAGCCAUGCCGCGUGUAUGAAGAAGGCCUUCGGGUUGUAAAGUACUUUCAGCGGGGAGGAAGGUGUUGUGGUUAAUAACCGCAGCAAUUGACGUUACCCGCAGAAGAAGCACCGGCUAACUCCGUGCCAGCAGCCGCGGUAAUACGGAGGGUGCAAGCGUUAAUCGGAAUUACUGGGCGUAAAGCGCACGCAGGCGGUCUGUCAAGUCGGAUGUGAAAUCCCCGGGCUCAACCUGGGAACUGCAUUCGAAACUGGCAGGCUUGAGUCUUGUAGAGGGGGGUAGAAUUCCAGGUGUAGCGGUGAAAUGCGUAGAGAUCUGGAGGAAUACCGGUGGCGAAGGCGGCCCCCUGGACAAAGACUGACGCUCAGGUGCGAAAGCGUGGGGAGCAAACAGGAUUAGAUACCCUGGUAGUCCACGCCGUAAACGAUGUCUACUUGGAGGUUGUGCCCUUGAGGCGUGGCUUCCGGAGCUAACGCGUUAAGUAGACCGCCUGGGGAGUACGGCCGCAAGGUUAAAACUCAAAUGAAUUGACGGGGGCCCGCACAAGCGGUGGAGCAUGUGGUUUAAUUCGAUGCAACGCGAAGAACCUUACCUGGUCUUGACAUCCACAGAACUUUCCAGAGAUGGAUUGGUGCCUUCGGGAACUGUGAGACAGGUGCUGCAUGGCUGUCGUCAGCUCGUGUUGUGAAAUGUUGGGUUAAGUCCCGCAACGAGCGCAACCCUUAUCCUUUGUUGCCAGCGGUCCGGCCGGGAACUCAAAGGAGACUGCCAGUGAUAAACUGGAGGAAGGUGGGGAUGACGUCAAGUCAUCAUGGCCCUUACGACCAGGGCUACACACGUGCUACAAUGGCGCAUACAAAGAGAAGCGACCUCGCGAGAGCAAGCGGACCUCAUAAAGUGCGUCGUAGUCCGGAUUGGAGUCUGCAACUCGACUCCAUGAAGUCGGAAUCGCUAGUAAUCGUGGAUCAGAAUGCCACGGUGAAUACGUUCCCGGGCCUUGUACACACCGCCCGUCACACCAUGGGAGUGGGUUGCAAAAGAAGUAGGUAGCUUAACCUUCGGGAGGGCGCUUACCACUUUGUGAUUCAUGACUGGGGUGAAGUCGUAACAAGGUAACCGUAGGGGAACCUGCGGUUGGAUCACCUCCUUACCUUAAAGAAGC
rnacentral:rRNA from 2 species